rnacentral:rRNA from 1 species
AACGUAGGACGCAAGCGUUAUCCGGAGUUACUGGGCGUAAAGCGCGGGCAGGCGGUUCUGCCAGUCUGAUGUGAAAUCUCUCAGCUCAACUGGGAGCAGCCAUUGGAAACUACAGAACUGGAGUCUGACAGAGGUAGGCGGAAUUCCGGGUGGAGUGGUGAAAUGCGUAGAGAUCCGGAGGAACACCAGAGGCGAAGGCGGCCUACUGGGUCAGUACUGACGCUGAGCCGCGAAAGCCAGGGGAGCGAACGGG